rnacentral:rRNA from 1 species
AUGGCGACAUGGGAAGGUGUCCACGAGCUCCGCAGCUCCCCUCCGCAUCGACUACGACCACCAGUUCAAGCUGGGCGCCCCACAUCGCCGGAUCCGAGCUUCUUCCCCGUCGGCCGCCGCACGCCUUUCGUUGUCGAUCCGCGUCGCCAUCGCUGCUCCGACGUCUCCGGCCUCCCCGAGCUCGUCAUCCACACCGCGGUGAGCUCCUCAGCUGAUCCCCCUGUUUGUCCCCCUCGAUCCAUCGCCAUAUGUUGCUUGCGCUCGCUGAGGCCGCCAUGGCCGAAGCUUCGCGUCCGCAUGCCCCUGCCGCAUGCAGUCGUGACCUUGCUCCUGUGUACGCCGUGCUCGCCGUCGUGCGCCUGCUGCCGCCAUGGCAACCCAGCUUUUGCUGCUGUUGCAUGCUUGCCAUGGCAACCCAGCUUCAGUCAUCAACCUGAGGUGCUCUGGGCUCAACACUCGGAAAAGGUUUACCUGACUAUCUCAGUCCCAGAUGCAGAAGAUGUUGUGAUCAAGACUGAACCUCAGGGCAUCUUUAGCUUCUCAGUUGUUGCUCAUGGGGAAUCUUUUAGCUUGGCUUUGGAGCUAUUCAAUUCCGUACUGCCUGAGUCGUUGGUAACAGAGCGACUUAAUCAUAGGAGCUUGAUUCUACAUAUAGAUGAUCUACUUCAUAAUAUUUAUAUGCAUGCCACUAUGUUUGAAGGCUACAUAAAGGUUGGAAGUAGCCUACCCAAUAAUAAAGGAGCUGGCUCUUGUUGGUGCUCUAAGCAUGUGAAGCAAGCAUUGCAACAGCUUUUGCUGUUAGCUGUGAAGGCAAUUCAAGAAAAUAAUGCAGAGCUUGACAAGGAGGCACUGAUGUGUUCAUUUGGUGCCUGA